UGCCUUCUAAUUUCCCCCCUCUCUCUUUCUCAACAGACUUCUAUCACCCCAAGAGAAGAUUCGUCGAUAUGCGUAUUAAAUCGGGCGAGUGAUCUCUCCGCCACCCCCCCAUCUGGGCUGCGUUCCUGGAGGAGUGCCAGUAUUCCAACCGAUCCUCACAAAAACACUCAGGAAUGCCAAGUUGGACACAGACUGCACAGUUGCUCCUAGGGAGACAACUAAGGGACCUCAGCCGUUGUGUCUUUAAGGUUAAUUUGGGGGGCUGUAUUCAUUGAAAACAUGGGGUGGGGGAUAUUAAGGUAUUGAACUGCAGAGAUUACGAUUAAUCUCGGUACCGGCGGAUUGAUACUCAUUUGGAUCAAGUGGAUGUCCUCAGUGUCGAAUGACUUAUUCCGUCUGCAUUCCGCUCCAUUCAAAAGGCAGUUUUUACGUCUCUGCCACACGGAAUAAGAGAAAUGUAGGAUGACCAUUACUUGAAACACAAGAUACCAUCAGGCUUCGCGCCAACCUGCCUCAACCAAAUCAACAAAUGACGAGGAUAAAACGUCCUUUGGCUCCUCUUCGCUGGAAUCCACAUACAUGUACAUUUUUUUUCUACUUUGUUGUUGUUCGUCAUGAUGAUCUUUAUUGUUCUGUUUUUGUUUUUUUUUUUCCACCCCAAAAGCACUUACUGUGUGUUAUACUUUAUAUAUCCUGUCGAACGAUGCAGAACACAUGCUUGAAGUGUACUUAUGGGCUCUAUGCACAUUUGCUUUGCUUAGACUAGAUGUGAUCAAGCGUCAUGAUGUUAUUCCAUCUUGUGUUAUAUAAUUAAAGCGACCUAGCCCCCAAUGUGUACCAGAUAAUGUAGUGUGGUACACAUUAAGAAAUGAUUACAGAGUUAAAAAAAAAAAUCUGAGUUAUCUAUUAGACUAGCUCUGUAAAGUAGCGUUAUUGUAAACCCAUUGCGGUAUUGCACAUGCACUUCGUGUACUGGACCCGUCCAGUAUUGACUGUCUUCUUCUUGGGAUGUCCCUCGCUAGUCGACAAUCACAAGAUUGUUCUCAACCUAACUCGGCGUAUUAUUUACAAAGAUCACAUGAAGUGCCAAACCUCUCCCAUUGCUCUAAUGCAUGCAAUUUAUGACACUAAUGGUUGUUCUCCGCCUUGAAAAAAAACAAAUGGUAUGUCUUCAUCGCUCUUCUAUUUAUGUCCGUCUUAUGUUGGCGGUUCUGCUGCUAGGGCUAAUUUGAACGGUGGGGGGAGGAUGUCACGUUGAUGCUCACGAACUGACACCUUGAAGAUGAUGAUGAUGAUGAGCCCAAAUGUUGACUGCACUUCCUGUUUAUUGACGCUCGUGCGCAGGUCCGUCUAUACUGUACUGUUCUAUGUGUAAAGCUAUCAAUGAAAAAAAAUCUAUCCCUUUAUUUAUUGUACUGCACCUUGUGUUGAUUUACUUUGUUCAAGAAUUACAAAUGACAAUAAAAUGUCUGAAUUAAA